rnacentral:RNase_P_RNA from 1 species
UCAGUCAGCUGGACGGCCGCUCCCGCUCGGGCCGAAAGGCUUGCGGGGGAGGAAAGUCCGGGCUCCAUCGACAUACGGUGCCGGAUAACAUCCGGCGGGGGUGACCCUAGGGACAGUGCCACAGAGAACGAACCGCCGCUUCCACCCUCUCCUUUCGCUUGCCGAAAGAGGGAGGGGUGAGAGCGGUAAGGGUGAAAAGGUGCGGUAAGAGCGCACCGCGUUUCCGGCAACGGAGACGGCAUGGCAAACCCCACCGGGAGCAAAACCGAAUAGGGACGGCGUCGCGAGAGGUUCGCCUUGGGCGAUAACAUCGCAGGGCUAUGUCGGGCUCGCUGUCCGGGUAGGUUGCAUGAGGCAACGUGCAAACGUUGUCCCAGAGGAAUGGCCGUCACGUAUCGUAUGCGUAAGUGUGCGGUGCCCUACAGAACCCGGCUUACAGGCUGGCUGAUAUC